rnacentral:siRNA from 5 species
UUCUUGACCUUGCAAGACUUU